rnacentral:lncRNA from 1 species
GGCGACGCAUGGAAGCAUUGGAACGCGUUGACGGGAGUCAAUUUUUGAUAAGAAAUUGUGAUCAACUAAAAUAUUGACAGCUGUAGAGAAUUAGAUUCAUGGAUGUGUUAAAUUUGACUCUGCCCUGAUUGGAAUCUAUGUCAUCAAUAAUCAUGUGGAGAUGGCAUUAUGUUGAACCUUCAACAUUAAAGGUUUUACAACA